GAGAGAACAAGCGAGCAGGUGCUGUUUUUAUGGCUUUCUCCAUCUAGCGAAGAAGAGGAUAACAGGGUCACAGCAUGGAGACCUCAACGACUCCACACCUGGAAUAACACCACCCAGAAUAUCCGUUCCGCUCCGCUUGCACAAACUGAGCACGCUGGUG